rfam:Gossypium arboreum cultivar AKA8401 contig_1731_1, whole genome shotgun sequence.
UGUUAAAAAUUUCAUUCAUUUCUACUAUUAAAAUUGGCGUGGUUGAAAGAAUAACCAAAAAGUUACUCGUGGCAUACUAGAUGUAUUUCAUUUUGACAUACAAAUACCAAUUUUUAAUAGUAGAAAUUGAUGAAAUUUUUUAACA